rnacentral:rRNA from 1 species
CCAGACUCCUACGGGAGGCAGCAGUGAGGAAUAUUGGUCAAUGGGCGGGAGCCUGAACCAGCCAAGUCGCGUGAGGGAAGACGGUUCUAUGGAUUGUAAACCUCUUUAGGCGGGGAGCAAUGCCGGGCACGCGUGUCCGGAGGGAGAGUACCCGCAGAAUAAGCAUCGGCUAACUCCGUGCCAGCAGCCGCGGUAAUACGGAGGAUGCGAGCGUUAUCCGGAUUUAUUGGGUUUAAAGGGUGCGUAGGCGGAUGCUUAAGUCAGCGGUAAAAUUGCGGGGCUCAACCUCGUCGAGCCGUUGAAACUGGGUGCCUUGAGUGGGCGAGAAGUAUGCGGAAUGCGUGGUGUAGCGGUGAAAUGCAUAGAUAUCACGCAGAACUCCGAUUGCGAAGGCAGCAUACCGGCGCCCGACUGACGCUGAGGCACGAAAGCGUGGGUAUCGAACAGGAUUAGAUACCCUAGUA